UAGGGAAUCUUCCACAAUGCACGAAAGUCUGAUGGAGCAAUGCCGCGUGAGUGAAGAAGGGUUUCGGCUCGUAAAACUCUGUUGUUAAAGAAGAACACUUCUGAGAGUAACUGUUCAGAAGUUGACGGUAUUUAACCAGAAAGCCACGGCUAUAUACGUG
rnacentral:rRNA from 1 species